CGGGCUUGAAAUGUAGAGGAAUAAUCUGGAAACGGAUUAGCUAGCAAUAGUCUCUAUGUAGGUGCUGCAUGGUUGUCGUCAGCUCGUGCCGUGAGGUGUCGGCUUAAGUGCCAUAACGAGCGCAACCCACAUUGUUAGUUGCUAACAGGUCAAGCUGAGGACUCUGACAAGACUGCCAGCGUAAGCUGCGAGGAAGGUGUGGAUGACGUCAAAUCAGCCG
rnacentral:rRNA from 1 species